rnacentral:rRNA from 1 species
AACGAACGCUGGCGGCAUGCCUAACACAUGCAAGUCGAACGAGACCUUCGGGUCUAGUGGCGCACGGGUGCGUAACGCGUGGGAAUCUGCCCUUGGGUUCGGGAUAACAGUUGGAAACGACUGCUAAUACCGGAUGAUGACUUCGGUCCAAAGAUUUAUCGCCCAGGGAUGAGCCCGCGUCGGAUUAGCUAGUUGGUGAGGUAAAGGCUCACCAAGGCGACGAUCCGUAGCUGGUCUGAGAGGAUGAUCAGCCACACUGGGACUGAGACACGGCCCAGACUCCUACGGGAGGCAGCAGUGGGGAAUAUUGGACAAUGGGGGAAACCCUGAUCCAGCAAUGCCGCGUGAGUGAUGAAGGCCUUAGGGUUGUAAAGCUCUUUUACCCGGGAUGAUAAUGACAGUACCGGGAGAAUAAGCCCCGGCUAACUCCGUG